rnacentral:rRNA from 1 species
UACGUGGGUGGCAAGCGUUAUCCGGAUUUACUGGGUGUAAAGGGCGUGUAGGCGGGAGAGCAAGUCAGACGUGAAAUUCCAGGGCUCAACCCUGGAACUGCGUUUGAAACUGUUCUUCUUGAGUGAUGGAGAGGCAGGCGGAAUUCCGUGUGUAGCGGUGAAAUGCGUAGAUAUACGGAGGAACACCAGUGGCGAAGGCGGCCUGCUGGACAUUAACUGACGCUGAGGCGCGAAAGCGUGGGGAGCAAACAGG